CCGGAGAGGGAGCCUGAGAAACGGCUACCACAUCCAAGGAAGGCAGCAGGCGCGCAAAUUACCCAAUCCCAAUACGGGGAGGUAGUGACAAUAAAUAACAAUAUGGGGCCCUUACGGGUUUCGUAAUUGGAAUGAGUACAAUUUAAAUCUCUUAACGAGGAACAAUUGGAGGGCAAGUCUGGUGCCAGCAGCCGCGGUAAUUCCAGCUCCAAUAGCGUAUAUUAAAGUUGUUGCAGUUAAAAAGCUCGUAGUUGAAUUUCGGAAUCUGUCCGUUGGUCGGGCUUCAUUGUCCGUACUGGUGUGAUGGGUUCUUACCUUCUGAAUAACCAGCAUGCCAUUCAUUUGGUGCGCUGGGGAAGCAGGACUAUUACCUUGAAAAAAUUAGAGUGCUCAAAGCAGGCUAGUGCCUGAAUACAUUAGCAUGGAAUAAUAAAAUAGGACGGCAUGGUUCUAUUUUGUUGGUUUCUAGGAUCACCGUAAUGAUUAAUAGGGAUAGUUGGGGGCAUUAGUAUUCAAUUGUCAGAGGUGAAAUUCUUGGAUUUAUUGAAGACUAACUUCUGCGAAAGCAUUUGCCAAGGAUGUUUUCAUUAAUCAAGAACGAAAGUUAGGGGAUCGAAGACGAUCAGAUACCGUCGUAGUCUUAACCAUAAACUAUGCCGACUAGGGAUCGGACGAUGUUAAUUUUUUAAUGACUCGUUCGGCGCCUUAC
rnacentral:rRNA from 1 species